GUCACGGUUCCCCGAGGGCUGCAGGGCGGCCGCUCGAGCUGACACCCCGCCGACACGCAUUGGGUGAAGGCGGCCGGGUUGUCCACCUUACAGAUGCGUUUUCAUACGGCUGUGAUAGCGUAAGGCGACAGAUAGCUUCUGAUUUUGCAGUAUGAGCAAGGCUGCCCAGUGUCUGAGAAUCACAGCUUCAGGGCCGGGAACAUGCUGUGAAACCUGGAGCCCGAGUGUGGGUGUUCUGACCCAAGUUAGAAAACAGAUCUUCCUUCACCAUUCAAUAAAAGUGGUCUGCUUCCAUCCUGCAUCUGUUGCAAAGAUGGUUGGGUUGGCGCUGGCACAGCGCUCACCAACAAGCCUAUCUACCCAUCACCAUCCCACACGGGACAGCGGCUCCGCUCAGUGCAGGGAAGGAUGCCUCACCCAGCCCUGCUCUCACAGCCCCUCUGGCUCAGGGCAGUGGGAACGUGGUGGGUGUUGUGGGCCCUCAGCAAAAGCUCUGAGUUCUUCUCUCCAAUCCUUAACAGAAAUUCCUUGGCUUGCUCUCCUCAUGGAGCUGGUGCCUGCUGAAUUUGGGACUGAAGGGGAACAUCAGCACAAGGCCUUGUUCCCAAGAGUGCACAGACCUUCUAUGAGCUCAGGGCCUCUCGCCUUCCGCUCCCUGCCUGCAUUGUUACUGAGAACACAGAAAACAUGAUAUAAAUUCAGCUUCCAGCCUUGAAACCCAAAGUUGUGCUACAUUAGCUUUUUAGGUCUCUUUUCAACCUAAUGCAUUCAUCAUCCAAAAAUCAAGCACACUGAAACUGCUGUCCUUUCAAACCCUGGCAACGUUGUAAAAAUGUGUUACAUACUUUUAGAUGAAGAAAAGUUUCCAGAGAAAGCAUUGAGCGUCACAACCACUGCCACGUGCGCUUCCCCACACCUCUGCGGUGCGGAGCAGUGAGCCCUCACCUGCUCCAUGCGGAUGAGCGAGGAGCAAUGCAGCACUUCUUCCCACGUCACUCUGGUACACCACCUAGGAGUGACAUGGCCUCUGUGGAGAUCCUAGGAAGGCAGUAGCCCCGUCUGCACGGUGCCGUGCCAUGCAGAUUGAGCCCUGUGCUGGCACGUGGCUUUGACAUCGUGGCACUGGAGCCACAGCGAUGCUCGUGUGCUCCGCAUGAGCCACCUGACGGCCCUUUACACGGUGAUAUACACAGCAUCUCAGUGAGACAAGACGUCACACACUGCCCUCACAGGCGGGUUACACCUCUAGUUCAAAGAACCACCUGAAAUGAGGUGUAUGGACAUUUCCAUGCAUUGGCCCCAGGGGCUUGCCCAGAGGGCCGUGGCAGUGCUGUCUGAGGCACCGCGUCCUGCCCCUGUCCUACUCCUGGCAUCUGCUGCUGGCCUCUUGGGAGCACUGAGGCUAUGGGAAACACAGGGCCCAGGGCUUAAGCAAAAUGUAGGCUCUGUAAUUACAGCCUGAGGGUCUGCGGUGCAGUCGGGACUUGAACACAAGUCCCUUGGAACCCAGCCACUGUAGCGUUUUUUUUCUGUAUGUGUCCUUUUAAACUACUGGGUAUCUGUACUGUAUUAAAUUAUUCAUACCAUUCAGUUUCCUUUAAAGGCUGAGGAAGUCAUGAAGAUAAUCCUCUUUCUGCCGUAUGUUUCCCGUGCCCUCUGGUUCUCUCCUCUAUUCCUCUCCCCUUUCCAUGUUCUCCUGUGUCUCCUGCUUUCCAUCUGCAUUUCCCUCAGCAGCACCCAUUUCCUGUGGGUUUCAUCACCACCCCCACCUCGACUCCAUCUGUUGCAGAGAUCAGCAGUGAAGUUAACUCGUGAUUACACUCGCAGGGAAUCUCGCCAACAGAUAGUGUGGCAUUGCCGGGUAUUAAAGUGAACACCGCGAUGCCAGGAGGGGCACAGAGGAGAGAUCACUCCUUUCCCAUGCAGCCACCGCAGACAGGUGAAGCUGCAGCUUCCCAUCUCCUGGAGCAGGUGCCUUUGCUCGCAGCCAAGCUGCUGAGAGCUGCUAUGCAGCAGCCGGGCUGGCAGCCCGUGGGUCCGUGCUGUGGGAGGCUGGCAAUGCAGCAGUGGGCUGGGUGCUGACGGAGCAGCCCCGGGAGCUGCCUGUCAUUGCCCUGUCACAACAGCCUGGUGACUGGGACUUGUUAAUGUGAUAGUUUCUCUUCCUGACGUUGUUUCACCUAACCUGAACCUGCUCUGGCAAUUCACGCCAUGCUGUAAGGUCCUGCCCUUCUGAGGUGACUUCUCCCCAGGUAACUGCCAUGCAGAUGCUCAUUGCUGCUGGAGCUCCUGGACGGACAUGCUGCUCUCAACAAGGCAUAUCUCCAGCACCUGAUUCAGUUAUUCCUUUAUCUGUCAUCAUGCAUGCUUUCACAGGAGUUUGUCCAUGUAAGAGCUGUCUAAACAAUGAGCAAAUGGUUCAAAAUUUGGCUGUCUUUUAUAAAUAAUGGUUCAAAGGCUUGAUUUAGCUACAGAUGAGCCCAAGCCACAAAAACUGCUGCUGGCUCCCAGCAGCAUCAACUUGCUUUUUUCUUUCCCCAUUGUGUUUUAUUUCAGCUAGAGCCUGGCCUGAAAGUCCACGUGGAAAGACAAACUAACUGUGAACCAGAUGCAGACAUCAGUGCCCAGGGUGGAGCGCGUACCAAGAUAGCCCACUGUCACCUGCCAGCUCGCCACUGACCUUUUAUCUGCAUAAAUAGUCAUGACCUUUGGGCUGCUCAAAUUAGUGCUAGCUGCUCACCCAGGCCAGUAUCGUGGCCCCUUCGUGCACAGGCCUUCCGCUAUUUUGACUCUGUUGCCUUUGCUUGGUGAGCCAACAGGCAGGGGCUCUGGGCUCAUGGCCUCUGUAGGCUGCAGACAUCUCACUGGAGCCUUCAUCCACCACUGAGGGGCACAAAGACCAAGGGAGGGGUCCUGCCACCCGUGGUUGUGUUGUCACUUCUCUGUAGGGCAUGGUGAUCCUUCACCUGCACUCUUGCUUGGGAUAUUAGUUCGGCAUGUCCUUCAGGAGAAGUCCUGGAAGAGUUUUAAAAUCAACAAAAAGAAAUCAUUACCAAAAUGGCUACUCUUUCAGUAAGCUUCAAAAUGAGUUAUUUUGCUUAAUACAGAAGUAGUUCAUUACAUCACAGAUCCUUCUUUCCAAUAAAGUCUGUUUUAUUCAGUGGA